rnacentral:sRNA from 1 species
CGUUAGAGGUGAGGUGACUGACUAUUUUAGAAAAGACGGAAAGAAGAGUUAAACAUCUUGUGCACAAAGGGGCACAGCCAAGCAAAGGCAUAGGAGAGGCAGAAGAUGGGACGGGUCUGAGACAGCAAAUCUGCCCAGCUUUGAUGAGGGCUAUAUGUCGAGGUUAAUAAGAAGUGAAGGUGGUGGUGGACAGUAAGUAGGUGAAGUUAGGAGUAACGAAAUAUCUAGUUCACGGGACUACGUCAUCAUAAAGCACUUCCCCAGUGCCAAGCUGGGGUUAUGAGACUAAGGUAUGUCCAGAUGAGCCUAGCCCCUUCAGAGGCGGUCCCUUUGGGAGGCUAUGCAGGACUGUCACUUUUGUUGAAAACCUGUUUGGAACCUCAUUUGGGAAUGGCCUUCAGAGCCUGUGGCAUGUUCUUCGGUUGUCCUCAUUGGUAGCAUGUCCUCCUACUUCAAGAGCCUGAAAUGGCUAGGUGUGGUGACAUGUGUCUGUAAUCCCAGCUACUCAGGAGUUUGAGGUGAGAGCAUUGCUUGAGCCCAGGAGUUUGAGGCCAGCCAACCUGGGAAAAAUAGCAAGACCUCAUCUCUUUUAAAAAAAAAGUGACCUGAAGGCCAGGUGUGGUGGCUCACACCUGUAAUCCCAGCACUUUGGGAGGCUGAAGCGGGCAGAUCACAAGAUCAGGAGUUCAAGACCAGCCUGGUCCAUAUGGUGAAACUCCGUCUCUACUAAAAAUACAAAACUUAGCCAGGCAUGGUGGCAGGUGCCAGUAGUCCCAGCUACUUGGGAGGCUGAGGCAGGAGAAACGCUUGAACCCGGGAGGCGGAGGUUGUAGUGAGCCAAGAUCGCGCCAGUACGCUCCGGCCUGGGCAACAAAGCAAGACUCCAUCUCAAAAAAAAAAACAGUUUCCUGAAAUAUUGAGAAGUUAUUUUUAUUUUACUUGGUUCCAAAACUAGUGUGAAUAAGGUUGCUUCUGCAACUUUAGUUUAUAUGUGAUUCUUAAUUUUUUACGGUUUGUAGACUCUGAGAAUUUGAUGAAAGCCACAGAUUCUCUUCCUCUAGUACCCAUACACAUCUAAUUGCAUGUAAUUUUGGGCUUUUGUUAGCCUCCCUGGAGCCCGGGUCCCAGCCAUGUGUCUAAGGCCAGCAUAAUGGUAAUAGUUAAUGGACUUCAUGUAGCAAGCCAGAACUGAACUAAAUACAUGGACAUCUCAAACAUGAGUGUCAUUUAGGACUGAAGGCAAAUUAAUGUCAUGGGGUGGAGAUCAAUAAGAAGGUAAGGAGCCACUGGCAGUAUGAGUCCAAACAGGGUACACCAUGGAAAUCACCUGUGGAAGAGGAAGGUGGAUUCCAGAAGAAGGAAAACUUGUGGGAGUGAGCAUUUCAAGGAUGGAGAGAUCUUGAAGAUACUCACAGGGAAGAUAGUGGUGGGGCAUGCCAUCCACAACGACUUCAAAGCCCUUCAGUACUUUCACCCCAAGUCCCUCACCCGUGACACCUCCCAUAUCCCCCCCCUCAACCGGAAGGCUGACUGCCCGGAGAAUGCCACCAUGUCUCUGAAGCAUCUCACCAAGAAGCUGCUAAACCGGGAUAUCCAGGUUGGGAAGAGCGGACAUUCCUCUGUGGAAGAUGCCCAGGCCACCAUGGAGCUGUACAAGUUGGUUGAAGUCGAGUGGGAAGAGCACCUAGCCCGGAAUCCCCCUACAGACUAGUGGCAGUGGGGACGCUGGUGAUAUGGGGAGGCAGAGGCAGCACCCAGGAGAAACAGGGCAGUGGACCAAUGGACAGCUCCACCAGCUCCACAUCUUUGGAAGCUAGAUUUGGGGAGAGAGAAGCUCUACCCCAGACUUAAUACCCAUUGAAAUUUCACCUCAGGUGUUGUGUCCUGUGUCUGGUUAAGUGUCCCAUGGAAGGGGGAAGCCUUCACGUCAGAACCCAACCCUAUACCUUUUACUUCUUAAAUGGUGCUAACCACAGGUGUCCCAGGGUGCUCUGUGCCAGUUAAGAUUUUUAACUUUCAAGGGGCAGGGCAUACUGGGAAAUGUAGUUUCCCAAACUGCCUUAUCACUUGGGUGGACAUAUGUCUCCUUUUAUGCCUUUUGGUCUUGAGUAAUUAACAGCAUCCUCUUCCACGCUCAGAAGUGUUCUGGUUGGGGCCAGGCAUGGUGACUCACGCCUGUAAUCCCAACACUUAGGGAGGCCGAGGCGGGCGGAUCACCUGAGAUCAGGAGUUCAAGACCAGCCUGGCCAACAUGGCGAAUUCCCGUUCUCUACUAAAAAUACAAAAAAUUUGUGGGGUGUGGUGGCAGGAGCCUGUAAUCCUAGCUACUCAGGAGGCUGAGGCAGGAGAAUUGCUUGAGCCCAGGAGGCGGAGAUUGCAGUGAGCCGAGAUCGUGUCACUGCACUCCAGCCUGGGUGACAAGAGUGAGACUCCGUCUCCAAAAAAAAAAAAAAAAAAGAAUUUAUUAACCUGGUUGGUUAAUAAAUUGUGUGGUCCCUGCCGGGCGUGGUGGCUCACGCCUGUAAUCCCAGCACUUUGGGAGGCCAAGGCGGGCAGAUCAUGAGGUCAGGAGAUCGAGACCAUCCUGGCUAACACGGUGAAACCCCGUCUCUACUAAAAAUAUAAAAAAUUAGCCGGGCGUGGUGGCGGGCAUCUGUAGUUCCACUACUUGGGAGGCUGAGGCAGGAGAAUGGCGUGAACCCAGGAGGCGGAGCUUGCAGUGAGCCGAGAUUGUGCCACUGCACUCCAGCCUGGGCCACGGCCACAGAGCGAGACUCUGUCUCAAAAAAAAAAAAAAAUUAAAAUUGUGUGGUCCCUUUCCAUGUCACAGAGUCUGCUUUUGGCUCAGAGUCUAUAUCUAGCCUGUGUCAGGAUAUUACCUGUUCUUCCCACCUUGACUUCCAGAGCAGCCAUCGCUGGUGAGCUUUAGUUCUCCUUAGGGUUCCAAGGCAUUAGAAGUAAGAGUGUAGCUUGGAAACCAACUUUUGUGAUUUAGGAAAGCUGUCUCUUUCCUAAGGUAAUAGGGGGUUUAUUUCAUUUAGGCCCCAGUUGGUAGGUUUUAAAAUAAUUUAUAAAGUGUUUUAAUAAUUUGGUUGUCUUUUUUACCUUGCUAAACCAAGCCUCUAAAAACUCAAAUUAUUCCCUUGAUAAAUUUUUAUAAUGGAAAAGCAA